CCUACGGGAGGCAGCAGUGAGGAAUAUUGGUCAAUGGUCGGGAGACUGAACCAGCCAAGCCGCGUGAGGGAUGAAGGUACAGAGUAUCGUAAACCUCUUUUGUCAGGGAACAAAGGCGGGGACGUGUCCCCGGCUGAGUGUAUCUGAAGAAAAAGCAUCGGCUAACUCCGUGCCAGCAGCCGCGGUAAUACGGAGGAUGCGAGCGUUAUCCGGAUUUAUUGGGUUUAAAGGGUGCGCAGGCGGUCUGUUAAGUCAGCGGUCAAAUGCCGGGGGCCAACCCCGGCCUCGCGUUUGAAACUGGCAGUCUCGAGUUGGAGAGAGGUAUGCGGAAUGCGCGGUGUAGCGGUGAAAUGCAUAGAGAUCGCGCAGAACUCCGAUUGCGAAGGCAGCAUGCCGGCUCCACACUGACGCUGAGGCACGAAAGCGUGGGUAGCGAACAGGAUUAGAUACCCCAGUAGUC
rnacentral:rRNA from 1 species